ACGGAAGGCAGCAGUGGGGAAUAUUGCACAAUGGGCGAAAGCCUGAUGCAGCGACGCCGCGUGAGUGAUGAAGUAUUUCGGUAUGUAAAGCUCUAUCAGCAGGGAAGAUAAUGACGGUACCUGACUAAGAAGCACCGGCUAAAUACGUGCCAGCAGCCGCGGUAAUACGUAUGGUGCAAGCGUUAUCCGGAUUUACUGGGUGUAAAGGGAGCGCAGGCGGUACGGCAAGUCUGAUGUGAAAGCCCGGGGCUCAACCCCGGUACUGCAUUGGAAACUGUCGAACUAGAGUGCCGGAGGGGUAAGUGGAAUUCCUAGUGUAGCGGUGAAAUGCGUAGAUAUUAGGAGGAACACCAGUGGCGAAGGCGACUUACUGGACGAUAACUGACGCUGAGGCUCGAAAGCGUGGGGAGCAAACAGGAUUAGAUACCCUGGUA
rnacentral:rRNA from 1 species